AGUGGCUGUUUUUGACAAAGGCUCCAGCUACUUUAAGUCUACCUAUUUCCUUGCCUAGGUCCCAGUGUAUUCACUCUCAGCACCCGGAAACAAGAUAUGCAGAACAAUAUCUGUGAAGCAUGACAGUGUUUCACUUAAUAGUGGGUGGCUAAUGUAUGGAAGUAUGCUGUUAUAUUGCCAGAACUCACAAUCAGCAGGCAUUUCUUUAGUGUCAUUCAGAAACUGUGCUUUAACAAGGUCAUGGAAGAUUUUUACUGUAUUGCUGAUUUACCACUUACCAUUGAAUACUACGACCUUGACCACAUUACCUGCAGCUAUGUUUAGUAAAGUAGAUUAUAGAAUUAUGUAAAAUUCUGAUUUGGAAGACAUCCACAAGGAUCAUCAAGUCCAACUCCUGGCUCCACACAGUACUACCUACCUGAGUAUACUCUAAGAUGAAAGAUGGUCUAUGGUUUUGCAUGGACUGUAGAGAACACAGAAGGGCUUGGUAUGAUACUGAGGCAGCUUUGGAGACACUGAGGUUUGACUGAAUCAGCCACAUAGUCCCUGCUUGUUUUGGGAUAGUUAAAAGAUUUGAUGAGCACUGGGUAUAUACUACUGCUCACAAUUUUCCCUGAUGCUAACAUCAUGCCUUACCUGAAAAUCCCUAUUAAACAUCAUGGCCAUUCAUAUUUGUCUUAUUAUUAUGCAGAAAGUGACAGUGCAUUGUUGUAGGCUGUUAAAAAAACAUAACUUUUCCAACUGGCAUAAGCAUACAUGGUCCUUCAGAUAGAAAGGAUAUUCCUAUUUCUCCUGAAACCACCACAAUGUUUAGGUACUAUGGAUUGUUAUCAGACGGACUUGUAGGUUGAGUCAGAUGGUCAGCUCCACCAUAGUCACGUGGCAGUUCUAAAAAUUCAUAAAAAUAUCUGUUUUCCAGAUGAUUAUUACCAUCCUUUUCACAGAGAAGAUAACAAAAUUUUUUUGAAGUCCCUG
rnacentral:lncRNA from 1 species